rnacentral:tRNA from 1 species
GGGAGAACCCCAUUCCUCCCUAAGACU